AAGCCAGCAGAGAGCUGAGUGAUGAGGAAACCACUUUUGACCUAGGAGCAACUUCUUGGUCUGAACACUAAAGACUAUAAUUUACCAUGUUCUGUGCUCGAAGAUAAGGACGGACCUAAAAGCACUGAGGCUUUUGACCUUUUUGAGAGAUAGGGAAAAGACUGCAUUCAGGAAUUCUUUGCUGUGUAUCUUAGUCCUAUGAAAUUCCUGCUGAAAUAAGAGACAAUUCCUUGUAAAUAUAAUACUGGUAGGGGGUGAGGAGUUUGUAAAUGGCAGAUUGGAUGGAAUGGUUGGGUC
rnacentral:lncRNA from 1 species